GAUGAAGAACGUAGCGAAAUGCGAUAAGUAAUGCGAAUUGCAGAAUUCAGUGAGUCAUCGAAUCUUUGAACGCACAUUGCGCCCCAUGGUAUUCCGUGGGGCAUGCCUGUUCGAGCGUCAUUUACCCCCUCAAGCUCCGCUUGGUGUUGGGCGUCUGUCCCGCUUCGCGCGCGGACUCGCCCCAAAGGUAUUGGCAGCGGUCGUGCCAGCUUCUCGCGCAGCACAUUGCGCUUCUCGAGGCACCGGUGGGCCCGCGUCCAUCAAGCUCACCCCCCCAGUUUGACCUCGGAUCAGGUAGGGAUACCCGCUGAACUUAAGCAUAUCAAUAAGCGGAGGA
rnacentral:misc_RNA from 1 species